UUUUUUAAAAACCCUAAGAACCCAUCCCCUCCUCUUCGUGCAGCACCCCCCAUCUUCUUCUUCCUCAACCAAUUGCCGCCACCCCACUCCAUCUCCUCGCUUCUCCACCGAACGUCGCCAUUAGCCCCUCUUCUCCUACGACCACCCACCCACAGCCGUCCGUCGCAUUUCCGCCUGUAAGCCUCAGUCUCGUCCGCCUCUGCCUUCAGCUGAACGCCGUCAGCCACUCUGCGCGGUGUCGUCCGAUUUUGGAGCGUCUGCACAACUUCGACGUCGUCGCAUCUCAGGUAACCACCCGAUCCCUUUUUUCUUCUUCAUUCCGCCAAUUCGUAGCUGUCGUCCUCUCUUCGUGCACAGUCACACUUGGUCAGUCGUGUUCGAACCUUAAAUCUGAGUCGCCACCUCUGCCUUGCAUGCUGUGAGUCAUUGUUUCUUCAAGGGACCAAUUGGAGAUUUUUACAGCAGAUUGUGGACCUUGUAGUCAAGGAGCGAUUUGGUUUCAACUUAAUUUGGCAAGCUGAAUUGGAAAAUUUAGUUGUUGAUAGUUAAUAAUUUUAUUAACCCCUUAUCUAUGUUUAGGACUGAUUCAUCGACAAAAUUUACCUUUCAACUAAGUAAAGUAGCUAAAUCUAAGGAUCACUAGACUGAUUGAUGUGUGCAUUCUACGGGACCACUAGAUUGUUAUGUGCAAGGUAAGGGUAAUGUACGAGGCAGACCGGCGAGAGGCAAGAAGGAUCGUGAAUGCCAUAUGAGGAUGUCUACUUUAAUGCUUCCGCUAGACGUUUCUUUUGUUUUGUUUCGUUUUUUAUCUUAAAUUGUUUUGAGGAUGGGAGUGAGUCUAAUUUUAGGAUAUUUAAUUGUUUUGUUUGAUAGUUUUUCCUAGGCGGUUAUAUGAACAUUUGAAUUUUGUUUUAAACAGGGUCCGAAAACAGUUUUUCUAUAGUUCGGAUGUUAUUUGAAUUUGAACAGAAUUUAUGAAACUACUUUUCAUUUUUGUGA